AAAACCCUAAUUUGCAGUGUGUGCACUUUUUAUUUUAUUUUUAUCAAGAGUGGCUGUUUCUUCUCGGAGUGUGAUUGAAUAAUCAAAUGGCGACGGAUGAGAAAGAGAAGCCGUGUGCAGCAGCAGGGUUGGGAACCAGAGGAAAGUUCCACAAAAGCCCCUUCGCAGGAACCAAACGACGACGCCGUAUGAACGUCCGCCGACGUCCCUGAGAAACCCUAACAGGAACAAUGGUUGGUUGUCGAAGCUGGUUGAUCCUGUCCACAGACUCAUCACUUAUAACGCUCACUCUCUCUUCUGCUCUCUUUUCCGCAAGCGACUUCCUCCCCUUCCCCCUCCCUCUUCUUCAGAAAGGGAACAUGAAGCUAGGCUCAAUCAUCAUGAAGAAGCUACCUUUGAUCAGGUAGUAGAGGUACUGAUGCCUCAGGCGGCAGGAGGCCGGAGCUUAGCUGAUUAUGUUUUACUGCUUUAUGUUAGCAUGACUGGAUUUGGGAUGCUGUUUAUGUUUUCUGCUAUUUAUGAUAUGUUGCUGUUGAGACUGAUGUUGGGCAUGUUGCCUUAUUUGAGUGAGCAUGGGGAUUGUCCAUGACACUUUCUGUUAGUACUUAUAGUUUGGAGUUGUAUAAACUGUUAGAUGG